GACUAAUGUAGGGUUCUAGGUUUGAAUUCUGGUCAAGUCAUGUGACUUUGAAUCAUUAUAUUGAUGACCAAUGAAAUAACCCACAAGGCUGGUCCAGUGUCGAUGGUAAAACACAUCUCACGAUAACAGGGGUGAAAUGUGAAACAAUUGGUUAGGAGCUGUCAAUCUAAUUUAGAUCAGAUACUCAUAAUGACAUAAAAUGUGUAGUGGUCAGGCUACUUCCAUUAGUGACCAGAUAGGUCAGUUAGUGGACCACCUAGUGGAAAAUUCACAAAUCCUGGUUUCAAUUCUCAGACAAGUUUGUUAAUUAAAUUUCUCCUGUCAGGAACGAAACUGAGAGUACAAGUGUAAUAGAGUGAAUUUUACAUGUUUUUAAUACUUUAUUUCAGGGAUUUCAUUUAUUGAAAAUAAAUUGCUUUAAUUCAAUUUCUUUACAGAGUUUUGAAAUUUGAUAUGAGAAUAAAGUUUUAUCUAAUUGAAAUCAUUAUUAUAACUCUGACUUGUGUUUGUCUUGUUAUUUCAUUACUUAUUAAAUUUUACUGCUUACUAUGCAGAACAGGUUUUUCUUUAGGAUAAUUGUUACUAUUUAUAGAUCACUCUAGCUUGGUCACAUGGUUUUUAGGAGGGAAAUUUCUUUUGAGGACAGGUAUUCUUGUUUUCAUGCUUAAGUGGCACGGAAGGGUUUUUGGAUAAAAGUUUCAUAUAGUAGCUUGUUCUUUGCUAGUGGAUUGAUUUAUUGGAUGGAGAUUUAUUCUAUUUGAUCAGGUUAGUAUUAAAGUUAGGAUGCACUAUUUCUUUAUUUUCACUACUUUAUCUUGUCUGAGUGAAUGUUUGAAUGAUAGACAAUAUGAGGAGUGAAUGAUCUUUGCAAGUUUGCACGAAUGCUGUAAAUAAUUGAUAUAGAACAUAUUGAUAUAUAAUUAAAUAAGAUUCAAAUUAAUGUGUUUAACUUUUAAAGGAGAGAAUGAAUGUAUUACACUUUAUAAAUACUUAAGAGUAAAUAUUCAUUCAUGCAAUAAAUUAUAACUCUACAGUAAAUACCUAUUUUAUUAUAGUUAGAACAUCAACACAUACUAUAAAGUAGGAGGAUUUCUUAAUGUUUGCACCGACCUUUGCACCUCAUGGGAGGGUCAUGCAACAAUCAUCACCACAAUAAAGAUAAAACCCACGACACCGGAGUUAUUGUUAUUAUUACACCCGGUUACACAAGGAUCUGAUUUUAAUUAGACUGGGAGGCAUUAAAUAGAUCAUAUGUAUAUAGAAGUCUGAAAAGCUCCAUUGAUAUGGCACCUGACUAGUAAUGCAGGAUACUCUGGUUCGAUUCCAAGUCCAGCCAAUUAUCGUCAAACCAUAUUUCUCUUCUGGUCACACUACAAACUACUACUUUAAGCAUUCUUUUUAUAUGAAAAAAAUCUGUACAUCAUCAUCUAUCAAAUGGAUAUGGUGGAGUGACAAAGUCACAUACAUAUAAGUAUCACUAUAAGCUUACACAGACGUCGGUAUCUGUCAGGGUGUUGCUGGGAUCAGAGUACGUUAUCCGCCUUCCUAAGAUUGGUUCCCCCAAAUGUUCCACUGCUGGGGGGUAGCUCCUAACCAAUUCCAGAGAGUUUUUGUAAAAUCCGGAUUCUCUGAUUUUUUCUGAGCAAGGAAAUAAUGAAAGUAAUUAGGUCCAUUUGUAAAGGAGUUCUGAGAACAAAGGAAAUAAUGAUCAUCAUGAUUGUGACGGGAAAUAUGCUAUGUACAAUAUAUUUCAAAAAUUCCAUUUACUAACAUUACCAUUGCUGAAAUUUUGGCAUACAGUCAAAAUUAAACAAAUCUAACUCACAAUGUUCCUUGAGUGACUAGUGUAUGCAUACAGUAACUAUAUAAUGAUGUGAUUUAGAAGUUAUGGACAUAUUAAUAUACAAUAAAAGCAUUGUUUUCCACUAUACAUUGACUGAUAUGAUUUAUAAUCACUGUUUUAGUAUUUAGCCUCUCUGUAUACAUAUAGCAUUUUUCAUCAAAUAAAUCACUUUUACAACAUAUGAAUCUGAUAACUAUAUAUGAUUAAAUAAUCCUGCCUAUCUCAAUCAAAGUAAGUGAGCAAUUUGUAAUUAUAUCCCACGCAACAAAGUUGCAGAGGGUAUAAUGUUUUUGACCGUUCCAUCAGUCAGUCCGUCACCCUUUCUUGUCGGUGCAACUCCUCGGAGGCCGCUUAACAGAAUUCCGUGAAACUUAACAAUUUAAGGACACAUUGUGUAGAUGUGCAUAUAUUCCAAGGGAAAUUCUGCUUCAAUAAUUUUUCUAGGAGUUAUGCGCCUAAUUGAACUUAGAAUUUUAAGGUUUUCUGCCCCCCCCCCCCUCCCCCGAGACCAAUCAACAGAAUUUUGUGAAGCUUUGUAGUUAGUAACAUUGUGUAGAUGUUAAUAUUUGCAAGAAGUUCUGAUUCAAUAAUUUUUCUGGGAGUUAUACCCCUUUUGAAUUUAGAAUUUCGUGCCCGUCUGUCCUGUUCUUGUUGUAUAAAAUUCAAGAUCAUCUAAUGUUUCUACAGAAUGUAGCCCAAAUAAAUUACAUAACUGAAUUUCUUUUGACAGCUCAGUGAAUUGUCAAUAAUGGUGUAUUCGUUACAUUGCCACCUCCACUUUAUUGCCCCAAUUGGUCUGUACACAUGAUUCAUCAGAAAAUUUCAAAGACUUGCAAGAAUAAUACCAAGUAUCAAUACAUUCGUUCCCAUUGCUUUUUUUUUGUGUGUGCACAAAACGGUACA